rnacentral:rRNA from 1 species
UUUAUUAUUAAUAUUAUGUAAUUAAAUUAUUAAUAAUUUAAUUGGGGUGAUAAAAAAAGAAUAAGUAUCUUUUUAAUUAUAAAAUAAGUUCCGUUUUUAGCGAUUAAAUGAAAAAAAUACUCUAGGGAUAACAGCGUAAUAAUUUUGGAUAGUUCAUAUAGAUAAAAUAGUUUGCGACCUCGAUGUUGGAUUAGGAUUCUUUUUUGGUGAAGAAGUUAAAAAAAGAAGUUUGUUCAACUUUU